rnacentral:lncRNA from 1 species
CUGUAGGCGGGUGAGGAAUCAGAAGUGUGCGUGGAGGAGCGAUGGGCAGGAUGCUGUGAAGGCUCCCAGGCUCCAGUGACCGUUGCUUCACAAGUCUGGUUGAGGCGCACUGAUGCUGCCUGAUUGUUCUCAGGCUCGCGUGAGUGAGGCUGAUGGAAGGGAAACUUCUCAGGGUUCACAUGGGCCUCAGCUCCAAGGGUUGGCGUGGGUCCUCAUCACUUUCCCAUCCCAGGCUGGCGGACUUUGGCUCUCCCCCAGACCGGAGCAGACUUGAGUGCUGAAGUGGGGAUGAAAAACGAGCAGCCUCACGUGCAUUAAAUAUUUAAUAUUCUCUCCCUGGGAGGUGUCAGGGAAAGGACCCUAUAAUAAAUACCGCACGGGACAAGUCCAUCACAGAGCUCGUCAGUAAUGGCCUCGUUUGCUUGACAGAAGCAUUACGGAUGCUGGGUCUGUGGCAUGUUUCAGGUGCCUCCCUCGAGCCUUGGACCCAAGAGGGCAGGGGACAGGCUGAAGAGAGUCCUCCAGGUUGUCAGUCUUUACCUGAAUACUUACAGAAUUUAUGGAAUUAUGGUUGUGCAGAUUCAUCUAAUAGAGAAUCAUAAUAGAAGAAUAGAAUUCAUCUAAUAGAAGAAAGCUUCAUCUAAUAAACACACACUUGCUACCUGCCAGGCCCUGUGGUACAUAUUCCAUGAAUAUCAAUUAUUUAGUCCUCUCUACUACUAUAUUAUGAUUACUACUUCCGCGUUAGAGGAAGGGAAACUGAGGCACAGAGAAUCUGCCGAACAACUCAUCUGCGUUAUCGAGAUCAUUUUGUACUGUAUAUAAAUGUUGAAUCACUAUGUUGUACAUCUGAAAGUAACGUUAUAUUGUACGUCAACCAUACUUCAAUUAAAAAAAAAACCCCCAAACUGAAAAAGUCACACUGCUGGUAAAUGUAAAAGGCAGGAUUUGAUUGAAGACAGGUGGGCUGGCUCCCAAGUCUGUGCCAUGCUGCAGGGGCUCUGGGGCUAGACAGCUGUGAGUUGGGAUCCCAGAUCCAUCGCUUACCAGCUGUGUGACCAUGGGCAAAGUGGCUCAACCUCUCUGAGCUUCAGUUGCUGUGUGUACAAGACUGGGACAAUACUAGUGCCGUCUCAUAGAAGUUGUGAGAACUGAGAAUUGAAUGAGGAGUUACAUGUAAAGCUUUAAUCACCACGUCGGUACAAGUUAACUCUUGUUACUUCCAGUGUGUCAUGUCCCAGUGUGCCCCGGUGGGCCAGGCUUGGGUCAAGAGGUCCCAGUGUGCCCAAGUAGGUCAUUUAGAGUCAGGAGACCCAUGGUCUCCUGCAGAUUCUCCGUCCUGUGCCACUUUCCUGGUACCAAACUGCCCUGUGCUACCUGAUGGGCUGUUUGCAUCCCUGGCAUUGUAACUGAACUGCUGUGGUCCAGGAAGGGGCAGCCUGACUCAGGCUCCUUGUAGAGAGAGAGUUCACAGCCCUGCGUGUUCAAACACGCCAGAGCCCUGGGCAGCCCAUGGUUCCCGGCAACAUUCUGGGGGCUCCGAGCGGCCCAGGGCUGCUGUGCUCUAACACCAGGCACUGUUCUGUUUGUGACCUUGGCUCUGGGCACAGUUAUGCAAGUCUGCUGCCUCUGUGGCCCUGGGUGAGAGUGUGGGAUGGGAGAGGAGGGGGUCUGGCCUGCAGGUGAGCCCAGGAGACCCCCCUGCUCGUAAUGGCAGCGAUUCUCUGGACAGCAAUGUCCAAAGGUCAUUCCAAAGGUCUCAGGCUCCAAGGGGCCACCCCUCUUCCCAAGGGUGCCAUGACCAGCCUGUUUUACACCUCGGAGC